AAGAUGUUAACUUAAGUUUAAAGUGCCAGACUUUUAAUCUGGAAAUGUAUUUUCACAUCUUA
rnacentral:tRNA from 1 species